UAGGAUUUUCUUGGCUGUAAUCUUUAUGGCAGCAGAUUGCCAGGUCUUCCUUAAGCAGUGCUGCUGGAUGAGUUUGAAUCGACAACCUUUAGGUUAUUAGUUGAGUGCUUAAUAUUUGUACCAACAGGGGUCUCACAUGUGAUAAUAGAGCCCUUGAAAUGUGGCUAAUCCUAAUUGAGAUGUGCUGUGGUUUUGACAUACACAACAGAUUUCAAAGAUUAUACAAGACAAAGAACGUAAACUAUCUUGUUAAUACAUUCUUAUAUUGAUUCCAUGAGUCAUGAUAAUAUUUUGGAUAAAUUGGAUUAAGUAAAAUAUAUUAUUUAAAUUAAUAUCAGCUGUUUAUUUUUUACCUUUUCUAACAUGGCUACUAGAAUAUUUAAAAUUGCAUAUGUGAUUUACUUUAUAUUUCUAUUGGACAUUGCUGGUGUAAGGAGUCUGUGGCCUCAGCUACAUGCUGGGCCAGAAGCAGCCUCAUCAGGAACCUCCAGUCUAUCUCUGUCUCUCCUUACCUGACGCAGAGAACUGCGCUAAUCUUCCUUAUCCUCUUUGUCAUCCUCAUCCUUAUUUGCCAUGCAAUGCUCGUAUCUUUUAAUUUUUUUUCUCCUUCCUCUCCCAUCCCACCACUGUUCACCUUUUUCCCAAUAGACAGCUGCAAGAAUAAUUUUAAUAUAUCUUUGAAUAUGUAAAUAAGGAAAGAAUACUCCAACUCUGUCUAGAUGUUCAAGAUUUGAAGAAGAGACCCUGAGAGCCAGGAUAUGUUUCUCUUCUCCAACCUGGUGUGGCUAUAAACUCAGACUGUCCUUCAGUGAUAAUUACCAAUUGUCAUCUUUCUUCUUCAUAAAACACUGUGUACAGUUUACUUUCUUAGAGCAGGAAGCUUAUCUGAAAAUGUUAAAAAAAAA